AUGGUAUCUUCGAUGAUUUUACUUGUUUCACCGGUUUCACUUGUUAUAAAGCCAGUGUUCUUUCGGAAUAAUUACACAGGGAGUAAUCUGAAGAUUGGCUGUUUGUAUCAGAAAGGGGCAUUUUUCAUUGACUUUGAUUUUUGUUUCAUAGAAGAUACCGAGUGCCACCCUAAAACCGUUAAAAUCCUCCCACCGGCAGUAGAACAAGUCUUACUGGAGGCGACGGUGACGUUAACCUGCGUUGUGUCCAAUCUUCCUUCUGGAGUCAACGUGACCUGGAAACACGAAAAGAAGCCUCUGAAAUCAGAGAUUGCUGAGCAGCCUGGACAGAAUCCCGACAGCGUGAUCAGCAAAUUAGACAUUUCUACUGAAGCCUGGAUGAGUGGCGUUACUUUUGAAUGCGUGGUGUACCAUCAGAAUCUACCGACUCCGCUGAGAGACUCCAUCCACAAGGAGAAAGUGAUUAAUCCGCUGGAGCCAUCAGUGUCGGUCCUCCUGCCACCAACAGAAGAAAUCUCCGCUCAGAGGUUUCUCUCGCUCACCUGUUUAGUGAGAGGUUUCUCCCCCAGAGAGAUCUUUGUCAAGUGGACAAACAAUGACAAGCCGGUGAAUCCCAGUAACUACAAGAACACCGAGGUGAUGGCGGAGAGUGACAACACCUCCUUCUUCAUCUACAGCCUGUUAUCCAUUACAGCGGAGGAGUGGGCCAGCGGUGCUUCUUACUCCUGUGUGGUGGGACAUGAAGCGAUUCCAUUGAAGAUUAUCAACAGAACAGUCAAUAAGUCCAGCGGUAAACCGAGUUUUGUAAACAUUUCACUUGCACUGAUGGACACUGUUAAUUCAUGUCAAUAA